rnacentral:rRNA from 1 species
CCCGUGAACCUUUACUAUAGCUUGACACUGAACAUUGAGCCUUGAUGUGUAGGAUAGGUGGGAGGCUUGGAAGUGUGGACGCCAGUCUGCAUGGAGCCGACCUUGAAAUACCACCCUUUAAUGUUUGAUGUUCUAACGUUGACCCGUAAUCCGGGUUGCGGACAGUGUCUGGUGGGUAGUUUGACUGGGGCGGUCUCCUCCUAAAGAGUAACGGAGGAGCACGAAGGUUGGCUAAUCCUGGUCGGACAUCAGGAGGUUAGUGCAAUGGCAUAAGCCAGCUUGACUGCGAGCGUGACGGCGCGAGCAGGUGCGAAAGCAGGUCAUAGUGAUCCGGUGGUUCUGAAUGGAAGGGCCAUCGCUCAACGGAUAAAAGGUACUCCGGGGAUAACAGGCUGAUACCGCCCAAGAGUUCAUAUCGACGGCGGUGUUUGGCACCUCGAUGUCGGCUCAUCACAUCCUGGGGCUGAAGUAGGUCCCAAGGGUAUGGCUGUUCGCCAUUUAAAGUGGUACGCGAGCUGGGUUUAGAACGUCGUGAGACAGUUCGGUCCCUAUCUGCCGUGGGCGCUGGAGAACUGAGGGGGGCUGCUCCUAGUACGAGAGGACCGGAGUGGACGCAUCACUGGUGUUCGGGUUGUCAUGCCAAUGGCACUGCCCGGUAGCUAAAUGCGGAAGAGAUAAGUGCUGAAAGCAUCUAAGCACGAAACUUGCCCCGAGAUGAGUUCUCCCUGACUCCUUGAGAGUCCUGAAGGAACGUUGAAGACGACGACGUUGAUAGGCCGGGUGUGUAAGCGCAGC